CCGCGGUAAUACGAAGGGGGCUAGCGUUGUUCGGAAUCACUGGGCGUAAAGCGCACGUAGGCGGAUCUUUAAGUCAGGGGUGAAAUCCCGGGGCUCAACCCCGGAACUGCCUUUGAUACUGGGGAUCUCGAGUUCGGGAGAGGUGAGUGGAACUGCGAGUGUAGAGGUGAAAUUCGUAGAUAUUCGCAAGAACACCAGUGGCGAAGGCGGCUCACUGGCCCGAUACUGACGCUGAGGUGCGAAAGCGUGG
rnacentral:rRNA from 1 species